GACGAACGCUGGCGGCGUGCUUAACACAUGCAAGUCGAACGGAAAGGCCCUGCUUUUGUGGGGUGCUCGAGUGGCGAACGGGUGAGUAACACGUGAGUAACCUGCCCUUGACUUUGGGAUAACUUCAGGAAACUGGGGCUAAUACCGGAUAGGAGCUCCUGCUGCAUGGUGGGGGUUGGAAAGUUUCGGCGGUUGGGGAUGGACUCGCGGCUUAUCAGCUUGUUGGUGGGGUAGUGGCUUACCAAGGCUUUGACGGGUAGCCGGCCUGAGAUGGUGACCGGCCACAUUGGGACUGAGAUACGGCCCAGACUCCUACGGGAGGCAGCAGUGGGGAAUAUUGCACAAUGGGCGGAAGCCUGAUGCAGCAACGCCGCGUGCGGGAUGACGGUCUUCGGGUUGUAAACCGCUUUCGCCUGUGACGAAGCGUGAGUGACGGUAAUGGGUAAAGAAGCACCGGCUAACUACGUG
rnacentral:rRNA from 1 species